rnacentral:ncRNA from 1 species
UGAAUCCGCGCGGGAGAGUUCCCGGAGACGUGACCGCACGCUGCGGCGGACGUCGUCCCGGGGCGCCGAAGGAGCAAGUUCCUCCCUUGAAUCUCUCAGGCCCCGUACCGCGCGGGCGAG